rnacentral:rRNA from 1 species
GGUUUAAUUCGAUGAUACGCGAGGAACCUUACCCGGGCUUGAAUUGCAGAGGAAGGAUUUGGAGACAAUGACGCCCCUUCGGGGUCUCUGUGAAGGUGCUGCAUGGUUGUCGUCAGCUCGUGCCGUGAGGUGUCGGCUUAAGUGCCAUAACGAGCGCAACCCCUCUCCUUAGUUGCCAUCAGUUUGAAGCUGGGCACUCUGGGGACACUGCCACCGUAAGGUGUGA